rnacentral:lncRNA from 1 species
AGACUUAGGGUGGACCAACUUCUUCUCAAAACGCUAACUUGUGCGUGGAGAACAGAAAGUCUUGUGUUUUUCAUCAAGUGCAAAAAUUAGUAUUUGGGGGAAAAUCCGCAUAAUGCAUUUUCCAUGAAAUAGCAUCAAUCUCGAGAUGGCUCUUCCGAAUGGAAAGAGAGUCGUCAGAACAUUGGCUCUAUCAGGCCGUGCAUAGAGAGGAUUGAAAAAUUAGAAAUAAAGAUCCCGUUCAGAGAUUUAGUUACAGUUUCUAUUUAUUAGGGUCUGCAAAGUGAAUCUGGGGUACUGUUUGGCUACUAUCCGGGAGAAUUCAUCGCGCGGGUCAUUCGGAGAUCCCGAGAGCGCUUUUGAGCUGUUUGGGGAAGUAGGGCGGGGGCGCGGGCGUUUAUGCGGUCUUUCCACCCACCCUCGCCUAAUCAGUCGGCUCGGCUCUCAAUCAAGUUUUCAAAAUACUAAUCUUGAUCUAAGAGCCCCUAUCUCUGCAUCAGUGUUGGAAAUGAUUCACUUUUAGAGGCUUCUGGGCAUGGAGAAGAGGAAUGGUCGUCAGACGUAAGAAGACCUAAAAGAGUGGUCUGGCGUUCACUUAACUGCUGACGCACUGCCGGACGCAGACCUUUUCCCGCGAUGUGAUUGUGCGCCCACAGCCUUGCACUGUAGGCCUCCCGGCGGUGAGUCUAUUUCAAUGUGCUCGGCAAUGUAAGCCGAGCUGGGGCUGGGGUCGCGUGCGGAGGUGGGAGGAGGGGUGUGUGUGUGUGUGUAGGUACUUGCCCUGAAUAUCGGUGCUGAGCGUCCCAUUGGUGCUGGGCCCAAGGACCUCCUGACCCUUUGUCAGGGGUGAAGACACCGAGGGGUUGCUCCUGAACGUGGCGCGGCUUCUUGGAGCUCGCGUCAUACUUCUUACCCACGCUCCUCCUCCGCGGGGGCAAAGGAAAAGUUCGCCCGCUGCUUUGCAAAGUUAGGUUCUUGCGCUAAAAACCAGUGCUCUGUUUGUCUUUGUAAGAAGGGUUUUUAGCCCAAACUCCAAUUGAAGCCAAUUUUGGUCGAAGGAAGACGCACCAAAAAACAUCAACUUGUGUUUCUGCAGGUGGGAGAGAAAUCGCCCGCGUUGGGGGCGAUUCCGACCUACUAGAAAUUUCUAGAUGGCUUUAAGUGAAAAUCCUUAAAUGAAAAUCAGAGACCGCAAGCCCACCCAAGGGACUAACCAACACCCCUGGACUGCAGGGCUUUUUGCAAGGCUCAGGGGGGAAAAAAACAAAAAACAAAACAAACAAACAAAAAAAACUCAGAGAGGCUUGGGAGGAGGCCCUGGCGAGCUGGGAGGCGCUCGGUGUGUCUCCCUAAACCCGGAGGGCGUCAGGGAAGGGGUCUGGGUCUCGGGGAGCCAGGCCUUGAUUGGAGGUCCAGGAAUGGAGAGCGGGAACACCAGCCCGUUCUGACCCCUACAGUUUCCACUCACCGCGAAGAGCUGCCUAAUUGGGCGGCGAGCAGCUGCGAAAUUUGUAAUCGCCUAAUAAGCCUUCCACCUCGGUUAUUCUUAUCAAAAGGCAUAAAACUGAUAUUUUCACACUCGGCUUCCUCCACAGGAGCCGUUUAUAAACAUCCUUCAUCAGUAGGAUGAAAUUAAGCCUGCAUUGACAAAGGUCUCUGGAACUCGAUAUUUAAAAGCAAUAGAUCCGAAUUAGCAAAUUAUUACUUUAAGUAGGGAAAGUCCCCACCAACUUGACUAUUGAACCCUUUGCCUCUGAGCUCCUCGCGGUGAGUAACCACAUGUUUGAGGGAACUUAACCUGGAGUUUCCUCAAGCAACCUUCGGCAUCUUGGCUUCCUGAAUCCGCGCGCGCCCUGGCUUCUAGCCUUCCACCGGGUUUCGAGAACCCGCUCGGGCCAGACCUGCGGAGACCUGGGCGAGGCACAGCUGGGGCCUGGGCGGAAGUGCGGUCAAACCAGACGCGUCCGGGACUCCUGGGCCCGAGGGCGCAGAACCAGAGCCAGUAGUCGCACCCCUACGCUUUCCCCCGCCGGCGACCCUCGCUGGCGGCCCCCGGGGUCCCGCGCCUGGGGCUGGCCAGAGCACUGUGAGAGGGUGAGGUAGGGAAGACCUCCGCGCCCAUGAGAAGGCACAGCUUCUGGCUGAUUCUUGUGGAUACCUCUUUACCCUUGAUGGUAAAAAAGUCAGCCUAGAGAGCUCCGAAACUGCGAAGGUCACAGUUGGUCCAGGGAUUGGAGUGUUUCCUUUGAUUUUUCCCACCCCGUCUAACCAUUAUUAAUAUACUAAUUUGGAAAGAGACCGAAGGAGAUAGCUUCCAGAGGCUUUCUUCCAGACUGGCGCAGCUCAGAACCGCAUCAUCCCUCGGAGAUCGAGCAGCGGGCAACGCGCUCACCUUGGGACUUACCGGUCCCAGGCUUCUUCUCAGACCUUGUCACCCAGUUUCUGAGGGGAAGUGAGGAGCGUGUUUAUUCACGCCAGUGGAGGACGCCCAAACGUGGCGAGGGCCUCGGUCUGGGACCCCCUGGUCUCUGCCCCACUGCGGGCCCGGCCGAGGCUCACGGGGCUUCCGAGAGAGGCUAGCGUGCUAUGCGCGGGACAGCCGGGAACGCACUGGAGCGCAGACACCUCCUGGGCUUUGCCGCCCAGCCAGGCGUCCGUUUCGCUAACUGCAGUCGCCUGCCGGGGCCAGUGGUCUCCUGCGGUUCUAGAGACUCAACUGAAAGCCAAGUUCUGCGUCCGAGAGGGUAGUACGCGUGGAUUCGGUGUUUCUUUUCAUCUGGUGAGCUCGUCCCUGAAGAGCGCGAGUAAACUCGCCCAGUCCUCCGCGGAAGGAGAGCGGGGAAGCGUUUCUCGCCUGAUGGGACCAGUGAUACCAGUGAUAAGAGUUAGGAGACCUGUGGAGCCCGAAAUUUGUCAAGACGCAGUCUGGGACGCUCCGGACUAAAUGCUACUGCGCAAAGCGCGGAAGUCCACUUCUCACUAUUUACCCAUUGUGAUAUUUCCAAGUCCACAGUCUCGCCUUACGCACACUUGUGGUUUGGAGCAGCCAAUUUUACAUGCAUUUUUACCGUUCAGAAUAAGCAACGCGGCAGGACCAGGGGAAACCUGAUUCUAACCUGUUUCUACAGACCUCUGUCCACACAAGUCUGUAAGAACCGAACUAGGAGGUGGAGAGAGGGGGGGAAAAAAAACCCGCAAUAACCCAAAACCCAACAGCUCUCUAAACCUCCUCCCCGUAUUUUCCCCGCCCUGUGUUUUAAUGUACAUCCUACUAGGCUCACAGGGCGGAUCUAGCCAGGAGCCCACUAAUCUAAAGGAGGACGGAAAGCCUAGCCCGCAGGCUUCCCUUCACCCUCCUCCUCCCCAGGGAUCCCUGAGAGUCGUACUAAACCCCGGCCAGGGAGCAAGGAAGCCAGAGUUUAAGGGCAAAAACAUGGGCGCCUGAGAGUGUUUCUCGGGUUGAGUGGGGCUGUGUGAGUCUCCUAUUCGUGGAGUUCGAUCCGGUUUGGAUAAUAGAACACACAGCUCCUGUUGCUAGCCAGUGUGGGUGCGCUCCACGCAAACCCGGGCGGUCCUGCCCACAAUCUCGGCGACAACAUCUUCCCACAACACUGCCACACCCCGUCGUUGCUUUUCCGAUGUUUCCGGUAAAAUGAUGCUUUUUUAUAAAAAAGGCCUGCAGAAUAAUCUUGAAACACAAUUUUUUUUAAAAGUUAAAUAACUUUUUACAUGGAUUUCUGCUUCAGGAGACUAGUUCUUGUAAAUGCGGCAGUGUUUUCUUCCUUUCCUUCCUCUCCUCCCCCUCUCUCUUCCUCCCUUCCUUCUUCCCUACUUCUGACUGCCUGUGUCCAUUCGUGGGAGCUCAAGGUUUAAGAAGCUAGGCAACGUGCUCUUAGAGUAUGGGAUUUGAAAUUAGUCAAACCUAUAAUGGAUUCCAGAGCAAUUUAAUAACUUAACACCUCGGCUUUCUCAUCCGUAAAAUGGAGAUGACAGCACUAAUGACGUUGAAAUGUGUUCACCAAACGCGCAGUAGAUUCUUCUUAAUCUUCUUACGCUCUCCCCUGCGUCCUCCUUUGCAGCCCUAAGAGAGGUCUGGAUGCAGAGGCGUCGCCAAAGGUCUCAUUCCCCAGUUGAAGAGGACAGGGAGGCCAGUGCUCCUCGGCAUCCACCUGGCUUCCAGUUGUCUAUUUCUAGGAGUUCAACAGAUCCGGUCGCCAACACCAAACAGGGCCCUCAGAGCUACAUAGAUGCUGGAGAAGAGCUCGCAGCUGGGAACCACUCUACCAUGGCAUUUUGGCCCAAGAAGGCACAAUGAAAAACUUUUCCUCCUCCUCUGUCACUUGUUUAUUUGGGGGUUAAUCUGGCACAUUGAUAUGCUUGGAACCCUGACUCCUGUCAGUCUGUGCAAACUUCUGAUUAUUGUGAAAGUGGCGGUAAUCAUAGUCGUUGCUCAUUACUUGUCAAAUGCCCCACUGGUGCUGAGGUGUAUAACCCUACUUCAGUAACUUCCCCUAAGGCCAUUUUACCAGGCUGGGCUGAAAUUCCAACCCACAGGCCAAGUUCAAGUCCUGCCUUUUAACCAUUCCCCAGGGUUGCCCUCCUUGUGGGGAGUUCAAAAACAGACACCUUCAAUUAAUGGAUUCAUUCGCCCAUCAUGGAUCCCCGAGAUGAUUCUUUACAUAGUCCAACUGGCCUGGGUUGCAGCUCCAGCACAGUUGGUCCAGCUACCAGCUGUGGCUUCAGGCUGCCCCCAGAUACAGGGCACCUGGUAUCCAGUGGCAAAGAGCGCCCUCUUCCUACCUCCAUUUUCACUGUGCCCAGGUUAAAUUCCAUGGAAAGAUUUGGAGUGUCAAACCAGCCACAAAGGGGGGAAAAGAAUCGAGCCUUUAAUUGGGUGGUAAAAAUCUCUCUCUUCUUUGCAAAUUACAGAACCCAAUGGCUAAUCGUCAGGAAGUGGAUCAAAGCCUGGAUUGAACAAGUGAACUCAGCUCUCCCUACCUCCUGUGUCGCAAAGACCUCACUCACUUCUGGAACUUUCCUUUGGCUUGGACCAAAGUUCCGGUCACUGCGUGGAAUGCAGCAGAGCGCAUGGUGCCCUGCUUUGGCUGUGCACAGGUCAUCUCGUGGCACCUUCUUUUGCCACUUCAGUGGCAAACACUUUUCCGGACAAAACGGGUGAAUAAUGUUGACCCCACCAGAUCUUCCUGUAGGCUGCAAGCACCCUGAAGGCAGGAACCUUGUGUUUUUCCUGACUCUCUGAAACCUAGUUUAGUGCCUGGCACCAGGCAAUAAAGGAUGGCUUUUUGAAUGAAAGAAAGUAUGUGCUGGCAGGUACA